rnacentral:misc_RNA from 1 species
UCUCUGAAUAUCUAUAAGAUCAUAACUAAUUAAAUAAGAACCAGCUCAACAUCAUAAUAGAUAUUCAGAGAAAAUACAGGCAUCCAUGCCCCUUCUUUGCAAGACCCUCAGCAAAAUACACUCUCUAAUGAGAGACUCUGUAAAUAGUUUUUCACUAGGAUUACUGCUUAAUCAAGUAAAACAUUAGUAGAAUCAUUGAGCAAAAAGUA